CAACAAUAAAUAUUGAAUAUGACACUCAUAUUAGAUGGUCAAUUGGGUACUCUCCCGCGCUAGUGUCCAUUUUAAUUAUACAUGCAUUCGUACCUAGAAAUAGGUAUGCGUUUUAACCAAUUGAGGUUAGCAUGAGUGGUUAAGGGCCUCUUGCUCCUUAACCAAGAUCCCGGGUUCGAGCCUUGGGAAUGGAAAAAAUCUCAACUGGGAGGGAUGCUGUCCAUCGAGGUACCCAUGCAAACUCCCACGGGAGAUUACCUCGCCGAAGGCGGUGGGAACUCCUCGUAGUAGAACCAAAAAAUAGCUAAUGAUAAAACAACACAAGUCGAACUUUCUCUCUCUAAAAGCUCCCCCUUCUAAACCCUAACAACCGGCACCUACGAAACUACUAGCGGCUCGCCGGUAAUCGAUCUUUUCACCCCUUCGAUUGCCGGCGAGUCUGCUUUACCAAGCUGAUCUUGCUUCUAGUGUCGAAGAUAUACAACUUUUGCAUCGGCGCCCGUAAAUCCAGAAAAUGAAGCUCAUCAAUUCGGGUAUGGGUUUGUGAGUUUUCUAUACGUUCCUUGUUCUAGAAGAUGUUUCUAGUUUCAGGUUGUUAAUUAUUUGCAAUUUGGAUUUCAUGUGGCCCGGAUUUAAGAAUUUUGGUGUGGAGUAUAGCGCCAAGUUGUUUUAUUGUGUUGGUUUAUCAAGUUGGUUUUUAUAGUGCAUAUCUAUUUGCCUAUGUUUGUUAGUUGCAAGUUUAAUUUUUAGCUUUAUAAUAUGAAUAAUUUUGAGGAGCUUCGGGGAAUGUUAUGUUAUUCUCACUAUGACGAUACUGAUUUCAGUUUUAACAAUUUGGAAGAAAUAGCUAGUCAGUUGGAAAAUCUUAUUGGUAUUCUCAAUUUUGUGAGUAGUUUGAAGGACGAGGGCAACAACUUCUACAUACAAAAUGCUACUAGUUUGGCUAUUUCAAAAUACUCUUUUGCUCUCAAGAUCUUGUCAUUUGUAUUGGUUAGUAAUGAUGGGGAUAAGUCCGUUUUUUCUGCUCUUGCUGUGUCCCUUAAUUUGAACUUGGGUGCUUGUUUUAUCAAGGAGAGAGACUUUGACAAAGUGGGUCAGUUAUGUUAAGCAGUGUUGUGUUAUGAUCGUGUUAAUGUGAAAGCUUUCUUUAGGAGGGUUUGUGGCAGCUAUGGAGCUCAAAAAACCAAAUUUAGCUUUCAGGGAUCUUGCACAAGCACUCCAGAUUGACCCCAAAAACAAAGAAUUUCAGUUGAAGCUUAAGGAGGUGACUUCUUUAUUGGGCUGGUCCCCAGAUUUGUGGAAGAUGCACUUGAAGCAGUUCGAGAUGAUGAGUUGUCUAUGGGCAAUGUCCAAAAGGAGAAAAAGGAAGAAAAAAAAAGAAAGGAAGGAAAGAAAAGAAAGAAAGAUGGUGACAAAAAUGAAGGAGGGCUACUCACAGGUGUUCUGGUGUUAAAGAUGACACCUAAAAGGAAAAGAAUGUUGUAGGCAAAUCUUUGGAUUUGGAGGGUAAUAUCAACUCUUCUAAUCAAGAUCAAAGGCCCAACAUUAAUGAUAACAAUUCAGUUCUGAAGUCGUCUCCAGAAACAAAAAAACCCCAAACUUGCAGGGUCCGGGUUUCAGUUUUCAAAUCGAAAACGAAUGUAUUCCUUUUUUGCAUCUCAGUCCAUCCAUGUAUGGAGAGAUUUCCAAGGGAAGAACACUAAUUUCUAUUGUUCUUUUCAGAAGAAGAUAAUUAGCAUUCGAGUCCUCGAUCCAUCAAGGAAGAUGGAUUGUGGUGAAAAGAAGGUAAUACACAAAUGGAGAUUAGUCACCCCCCAGUUGAAGGACAUGAUAGGUGUGAAACUGGCGCAAGAAGAUCUAGCUACAAGUGUGGCAAUUCAAGCGUCAGCGCGUGAAGCUACGUCAUAUUUGAUACUUCCACAAUCAGAAGCUCCGUCCUCGUUGAAUCAUCUUGUUCAUCCUUCCACUUCCUCCUCUCAAAAUCUUAUGAUGACUGCCUCUUCUCACUCCCGUCCCAGGUCAAGAAGAAUGAAUGGAACUUUAAAAGGUAGAAGCUCCUCUAUUUUUACUAACACUUGAUUUUGCAGGAUGAGUAUCGGUUCCAAAAGAAGUUCGUCUUACCUAAUAGGGGACCCUUAGUAUCUUGUUAGAAAGAAAGUCUAUGGUCCUACACCCUGUGUUUUAAGUUGUAAUGUAGUUCCUGAUUAAUUUAUGCAAUGAAGAUUUUGUCAAAAAAUAAAAUGAAAUUGGUUAAUAUUUUUGUAAGGGGAAUUAAAUUAAUUCAUUAAUAAAGAGUUAUACGACA